GCAUGAUAUUGGUUGCGCAUGGCAUAAUCCUGCACAGUAGAAAUGAGGAGUGGGAAACUGCCAGCCCCGGGCUAAGAAUGUUAGUCAGUCGAUUCGUUCGUCAUUCGUCGCGUUAACAUCGGAUAGGAGUGGUCGUUCUUCGUUACAACAUACUGGAAAUCUAUCUAUUAUAAUACAUAACGACUAAAUGGGAGAACAGUAUUGCACAUUACAGAGCUCCAUACCUCUGCCCCAAACAGCGCCAAGCUCUCUACCAGUGAUCUCUUGUAGUCCUGUUUGAAUAUUCUUUCUCCCACGUUCUACAGAGGUUGGCUUAUUCCUUCUUCUUCUUGCUAUUCCCUGGAAAGGACCUAGUUGUAUUUCAAAAGUCAAGAAUGAGAAUCUUCCAGCCUUCACUUCUUCUAUGGAACUCGACGAUUCCUAUUUGAUGGCGGUUUUACGAUGACUUGUCUUCGACUCCAGUAGUGUUAGUGACAACGUUCGUUACAUCUAAUCUGUGCACAUAUCGAAUUUAAUUCGAUGGUAGCGAAGUUACUAUUGAUAUCUCAUAAGGAGCGAUGUCGAGAAAGUAAGACAGCUCGAGCAGCGGGAAGCACAGUGUACCUCAUAUCGAACAAUGCAUGGGUGACAAGUUAUAAUAUACCAUAUAUAUAAUAAACCAUAAUAUUCAGCAAAGUACUCACAAACGCAUUUCUAAAGUUGUGUUGGUGCGCGAUCUCCAUGUAUGCUGCAUUGCUUCUGUGGCGGCACUCGACAAGCCAAAUACCACCACUCGACGCUAACUAGUGUUGGACGACAGCAGCGCAGUGGUUAGCGCCUUAGAGGAAGCUGUUCUUGACGACAGCGGAUGGAGUUCUUCAGGACGAGGAGAACCCAUGUGUCCGGGAAUAGGUGAGUUGGAAGAUAUCUAGUACCUUAGGGCCUAGGACCUGUGCACUAGUCUGAAGAUUUACCUUUACUGGAUCAAGGUGUAGGUCAAUCAGAAUCAAGCGCGUGUACAUGUGUUUUCAUAUUUUUUUUGCGAAUACGUGAUCAUCCAUGCUUGCAUUGUCCAAGGGGAAUUCCGUAUAGUAGAAUCUUGAAUACCUUUUAUCUAAGAACUUCAUGGAAUCUUGUUAAGUCUUUCGUAUCUCUAUUACUUUCUUCUGAAAGCGGAAUUUCCUUCAGACAAAUCACGUAACACAUAUAUACAUUAUUAAUAUACAGGGUGAUUGGUAACUGGUGGUACAAGCGGAAAGGGGGUGAUUCUACGCGAAAAAAGAAGUCGAAA